AUCAACGCUGGCGGCGUGCCUCAGACAUGCAAGUCGAACGGCAGCACGGGUGCUCGCACCUGGUGGCGAGUGGCGAACGGGUGAGUAAUGCACCGGAACGUACCCAGUUAAUGGGGGAUAACUAUCCGAAAGGAUAGCUAAUACCGCAUACGCCCUGAGGGGGGAAAAGCGGGGGAUCGUAAGACCUCGCGUUAUUGGAGCGGCCGAUGCCGGAUUAGCUAGUUGGUGGGGGUAAAGGCUCACCAGGGCGACGAUCCGUAGCUGGUCUGAGAGGACGACCAGCCACACUGGAACUGAGACACGGUCCAGACUCCUACGGGAGGCAGCAGUGGGGAAUUUUGGACAAUGGGCGAAAGCCUGAUCCAGCCAUUCCGCGUGAGUGAAGAAGGCCUUCGGGUUUGUAAAGCUCUUUCGCAAGGAAAGAAAUCUUACCUUCUAACAUAGGGUGAGGAUGACGGUACCUUGAUAAGAAGCACCGGCUAACUACGUGCCAGCAGCCGCGGUAAUACGUAGGGUGCGAGCGUUAAUCGGAAUUACUGGGCGUAAAGCGUGCGCAGGCGGUUUGAUAAGUCUGAUGUGAAAUCCCCGGGCUCAACCUGGGAACUGCGUUGGAAACUGUCAGGCUAGAGUAUGGGAGAGGGAGGUAGAAUUCCACGUGUAGCAGUGAAAUGCGUAGAGAUGUGGAGGAAUACCGAUGGCGAAGGCAGCCUCCUGGCCCAAUACUGACGCUCAUGCACGAAAGCGUGGGGAGCAAACAGGAUUAGAUACCCUGGUAGUCCCACGCCCUAAACGAUGUCUACUAGUUGUUGGUGGAGUAAAAUCCAUUAGUAACGCAGCUAAACGCGUGAAGUAGACCGCCUGGGGAGUACGGUCGCAAGAUUAAAACUCAAAGGAAUUGACGGGGGCCCGCACAAGCGGUGGAUUAUGUGGAUUAAUUCGAUGCAACGCGAAAAAACCUUACCUGGCCUUGACAUGCCACUAACGAAGCAGAGAUGCAUUAGGUGCCCGAAAGGGAAAGUGGACACAGGUGCUGCAUGGCUGUCGUCAGCUCGUGUCGCGAGAUGUUGGGUUAAGUCCCGCAACGAGCGCAACCCUUGCCAAUAAUUGCCAUCAUUUAGUUGGGCACUUUAUUGGGACUGCCGGUGACAAACCGGAGGAAGGUGGGGAUGACGUCAAGUCCUCAUGGCCCUUAUGGCCAGGGCUUCACACGUAAUACAAUGGUCGGUACAGAGGGCAGCCAACCCGCGAGGGGGAGCCAAUCCCAGAAAAGCCGAUCGUAGUCCGGAUUGCAGUCUGCAACUCGACUGCAUGAAGUCGGAAUCGCUAGUAAUCGCGGAUCAGCAUGUCGCGGUGAAUACGUUCCCGGGCCUUGUACACACCGCCCGUCACACCAUGGGAGUGGGUUCUACCAGAAGUAGUUAGCCUAACCGCAAGGAGGGCGAUUACCACGGUAGGAUUCAUGACUGGGGUG
rnacentral:rRNA from 1 species